rnacentral:rRNA from 1 species
GGAUUUUGCACAAUGGGCGAAAGCCUGACCCAUCCACGCCGCGUGAGGGAAGAAGCCUUCGGGUCGUAAACCUCUGUCGGACGGGAAGGAACUACCGGUGGCUAAUAUCCAUCUGUAUUGACGGUACCCACCAAGAAGCCAUCGGCUAACUACUUGCCACCACCCGCGGUAAUACUUAGGAUCCAACCUUUGC